AAACAUAUGUACAGGGGGCAUUUACAAUAUGGGGGGGGUAUGGGGGGAUUUAGGGUGGGGGGGUCUGUACAAUGGGGGGGUGCAUUGUACAGCAUGUACAGCCCCACAAUGGCCCGUGUUUCUACAAGAAACAGCCAAAAAUGGGGGCGGGGGGGGGCAACAGGGAGGUGUCAUGGCUGCCAUUGAGGUGUCAUGGCCGACAGUGGGGUGUCAUGGCCACCAUUGAGGUGUCAUGGUCACCAAUGGGGUGUCAUGGCCGCCAUUGAAGUGUCAUGGCUGCCAUUGAGGUGUCAUGGCCGCCAUUGGGGUGUCAUGGCCACCAUUGAGGUGUCAUGGCCGCCAAUGGGGUGUCAUGGCCGACAGUGGGGUGUCAUGGCUGACAAGGUGUCAUGGCCGACAAGGUGUCAUGGCCGCCAUUGAGGUGUCAUGGCCGCCAAGGCGUCAUGGCCGCCAUUGAGGUGUCAUGGCCGCCAAUGGGGUGUCAUGGCUGACAAGGUGUCAUGGCCGCCAUUGAGGUGUCAUGGCCGCCAUUGAAGUGUCAUGGCCGCCAUUGAGGUGUCAUGGCCGCCAUUGGGGUGUCAUGGCCGACAAUGGGGUGUCAUGGCCGCCAUUGAGGUGUCAUGGCCGCCAGUGGGGUGUCAUGGCCGCCAUUGGGGUGUCAUGGCCGACAAUGGGGUGUCAUGGCCGCCAUCGAGGUGUCAUGGCCGACAUUGAGGUGUCAUGGCCGCCAAUGGGGUGUCAUGGCCGACAAUGGGGUGUCAUGGCCGCCAUCGAGGUGUCAUGGCCGCCAUUGGGGUGUCAUGGCCGCCAUUGAGGUGUCAUGGCCGCCAUUGAGGUGUCAUGGCCGACAAGGUGUCAUGGCCGCCAAUGGGGUGUCAUGGCCGCCAUUGAGGUGUCAUGGCUGCCAAUGGGGUGUCAUGGCUGACAAGGUGUCAUGGCCGCCAUUGAGGUGUCAUGGCCGACAAGGUGUCAUGGCCGCCAUGAUGAUGUCCGCCAUGUUGUCUGCCAUGACACCAUGUUGUCCGCCAUGUUGUCCGCCAUGUUGUCCGCCAUGUUGUCGGCCACGUUGCCGUCAGUUGAGGGUCCCGCGGCAGCUGUCGGUGCGGCAGAGGCAGGGGAUCUUGGUGUCCUCGAUGGGGAACUUGUAGUCGUAGGUGAUCUCCUCGUUGACCCCGAUGGGCUGCUUCGAGUAGAU
ensembl:lncRNA